CUGCAUUUAGUCAGAUAAGAAUGCUCCUUCCGUCUUCUAAGAUAAUUUCAAAAUGGAGUUAAUCCAAGACUUUGCACGUGUUACAGUCAGCAGGAUGAUAAAUAUUUUUAGCUUACAGCUGACAGAGAUAGAAAAGAAAGGCGUAAAGUACAUAAAAAGUUACAUGAAGAACCGGUAAAAGUUGUUAUUCCAGUAGUUUUGAUGGCAGAUAUCUUUUAGUGGCCUCAAAGGAGCAUCCCCGAACAUCUUACAUAAAUAAGAAGGAUUGUAAGAGGAGAGAGGAGUCGGAGAACGAAUUAUUAAAGCUGAAAUUAGAAAAAUAAAGAGAUGGGAUAUGAAAAAAUGUAUUGUAAUGAAGGGAAUAGAAUCGAAGCAAAGAAAGGAUAACGAAGAGCAUUAGCAUCCUCAUCUUCAGCAUCAGUUCAGCUUGCUUAUAACUGAUUUAUUACACAACUCUACAAUUGUUAUAGAGCUAUAGUUAAUGCAUUUGUGAUUAGGAAAACAAUUGUAAAUUGAGCCCAACCUCUGAACAACGACCAUUGAUUCGAACAUAAAAAUGGCCGUAGUUUAGAGAUGUCCGUUGUUGGAAGGUUGUUAUUAAUAAAGAAUCGAAGAGGAGAAAGGAUAACGAGGAACAUCACUUCUCAUCUUCAGCAUCAAUUGUGAUUUAGCUUGCUUACAACUGAUUUAUUACAUAACUUUAUAACUGUUAGAAAGACAGAAUUAAUGCAAAUUCGAUCAAGGAAACGUCGAAAAAUCGAGCCGAAAAAAGGUAAUUACGAAAUGAAAGAUAUUCUACAAUUAAAUUAAUCAUCUUUGGUGAUCAUCAGCAUCACUUUUGCUACCUUGAAAGGAAGGGGGAAUUAGUUAGAUAAUCGACAUAAAUUUCGUCUAAAAUAACGCAGUUCGAAGUGAAUCAGCAUUUUGAAAAAGUUCUCCAAACGUAUCGAUAAGGGAGUGAUUAAUGAGGGAAGCAAAUGAUGCUGUCCAGCACUUUAAAAAAAAAAAAGAGAAGGGGGAGGCCAAAAAAAGUGCCAAAAACUGCACGUUUAAGCCAUUCGUACAGGGAACAAAGAUUGAUAAUGUUCAAACACGCGACAUGGCUUAAGUUAAUGCUGCAUAUAGAUCUUGAUAAAGCAGAUAUUAGUACAGGUUACGUUUCCUUGUAGAUAGCCAGGUUUAUUUAUAUAUUUUAAUCUUUAUCUGACAAUAUUAAAAAGAGAAUUACUAAUUUAUCCUCUUUUAUAAUUUUUUUUAAUAUCUCUUAUCGUUCAGAUUGGAUAGAUUGAUAGCCAAAGUGUUUAUUCACCCGAUUAUCUCUUCAUAACUUUAAUUAUUAAGAAAUUCUCAACGAAAAGAAAGAGUAAAACUAAAACCAGAACGUUAUUAAAUAACUUUAAAUUAAUUUAAAAUUCAUCUGACAGUUCUAGAAGCAUCGAACCGAGUUUAAAAUAACGUAAACAAUGUUCUAGUUAUCCAAUUUUCUGCAUCAUCUUCUUCUUCUUCUUCCUUCUCCUCCGGAUGCGAGAGGAUAGCAUCUCUCUCUUCUCCAUCCUCUUUCUCUUUAACUUAGUCAUUCCGAUAUCACCUUAGUUAAGUAAUAAAUUUCAAAAAAAUGCAAAACGUUAUCUGAUUGGUCGAAUCGUUGGAAACAAUGACCAAUAACUUAAAUGUACGUAGUGAAGCGAAACUUAGAAAUAACUUUUACAUUUUCCUAGCCAUUGAUUCGUUUAUCGUAAACUUUCUGAUCCGGGACCUUCAAUUUGUCAUAAGUCAGGCGAAGUAGUAAUGCCGA
rnacentral:lncRNA from 1 species